CAGUAGCCGCGGUAAUACGAAGGGUGCAAGCGUUACUCGGAAUUACUGGGCGUAAAGCGCGCGUAGGCGGUUACUCAAGUCAGAGGUGAAAGCCCGGGGCUCAACCCCGGAACUGCCUUUGAAACUAGGUGACUAGAAUCUUGGAGAGGUCAGUGGAAUUCCGAGUGUAGAGGUGAAAUUCGUAGAUAUUCGGAAGAACACCAGUGGCGAAGGCGACUGACUGGACAAGUAUUGACGCUGAGGUGCGAAAGCGUGGGGAGCAAACAGGAUUAGAGACCCCGGUAGUCCCUGUCUCUUAUAC
rnacentral:rRNA from 1 species